UNUGACUUGAGUGCAGAGGGGGAGAGUGGAAUUCCAUGUGUAGCGGUGAAAUGCGUAGAUAUAUGGAGGANCACCAGUGGCGAAAGCGGCUCUCUGNUCUGUCACUGACGCUGAGGCUCGAAAGCGUGGGUAGCGAACAGGAUUAGAUACCNUGGUAGUCCACGCCGUAAACGAUGAGUGCUAGGUGUUAGGCCCUUUCCGGGGCUUAGUGCCGGAGCUAACGCAAUAAGCACUCCGCCUGGGGAGUACGACCGCAAGGUUGAAACUCAAAGGAAUUGACGGGGGCCCGCACAAGCGGUGGAGCAUGUGGUUUAAUUCGAAGCAACGCGAAGAACCUUACCAGGUCUUGACAUCCCGAUGCUAUUCUUAGAGAUAGGAAGUUACUUCGGUACAUCGGAGACAGGUGGUGCAUGGUUGUCGUCAGCUCGUGUCGUGAGAUGUUGGGUUANNNNNNNCAACGAGCGCAACCCUUAUUGUUAGUUGCCAUCAUUAAGUUGGGCACUCUAGCGAGACUGCCGGUAAUAAACCGGAGGAAGGUGGGGAUGACGUCAAAUCAUCAUGCCCCUUAUGACCUGGGCUACACACGUGCUACAGUGGUCGGUACAACGAGUUGCGAGCCGGUGACGGCAAGCUAAUCUCUGAAAGCCGAUCUCAGUUCGGAUUGGAGGCUGCAACUCGCCUCCAUGAAGUCGGAAUCGCUAGUAAUCGCGGAUCAGCACGCCGCGGUGAAUACGUUCCCGGGCCU
rnacentral:rRNA from 1 species